rnacentral:rRNA from 1 species
AUUGAACGCUGGCGGCAGGCCUAACACAUGCCAGUCGAGCGGAUGAAGGGAGCUUGCUCCUGGAUUCAGCGGCGGACGGGUGAGUAAUGCCUAGGAAUCUGCCUGGUAUUGGGGGAUAACGUCCGGAAACGGGCGCUAAUACCGCAUACGUCCUGCGGGAGAAAGUGGGGGAUCUUCGGACCUCACGCUAUCAGAUGAGCCUAGGUCGGAUUAGCUAGUUGGUGGGGUAAAGGCCUACCAAGGCGACGAUCCGUAACUGGUCUGAGAGGAUGAUCAGUCACACUGGAACUGAGACACGGUCCAGACUCCUACGGGAGGCAGCAGUGGGGAAUAUUGGACAAUGGGCGAAAGCCUGAUCCAGCCAUGCCGCGUGUGUGAAGAAGGUCUUCGGAUUGUAAAGCACUUUAAGUUGGGAGGAAGGGCAGUAAGUUAAUACCUUGCUGUUUUGACGUUACCAACAGAAUAAGCACCGGCUAACUUCGUG